rnacentral:lncRNA from 1 species
CAACUGACCCCCGAUGCAUAGUCGGCCGACUCAUUCAAAUAUAUCAUAAUCGUCAUGGAUGGUUACUCCAUCAAUAUCGCGGCGUAAUCCAUGAAGACUAAUAAUCCAUUGCGAGAUUACUGUUCUAUGAUUCUACGCCGCUAAAUGCGGGACCAUAUCCGACGGUUACGACCAUUUACUCUAUAAAAAGGGAUAAGGCAACAGUUUUGGUAAGCUAAAUUUUAUAUGCUGAGCUCUGUCUCCAUUCUCAUACUACUGUUGUCCAGUCUCCCUCUCUAAC